CCUACGGGUGGCAGCAGUGGGGAAUUUUGGACAAUGGGGGCAACCCUGAUCCAGCCAUGCCGCGUGAGUGAAGAAGGCCUUCGGGUUGUAAAGCUCUUUCAGACGGAAAGAAACGGUCACGGCGAAUACCCGUGACUAAUGACGGUACCGUAAGAAGAAGCACCGGCUAACUACGUGCCAGCAGCCGCGGUAAUACGUAGGGUGCUAGCGUUACUCGAAGUUACUGGACGCAAAUCGUGCGGAGGCGGUUGAAAUCCCCGGGCUUAACCUGGGAACUGCAUUUGUGACUGCGAGACUAGAGUGUAGCAGAGGGGGGUAGAAUUCCACGUGUAGCAGUGAAAUGCGUAGAGAUGUGGAGGAAUACCGAUGGCGAAGGCAGCCCCCUGGGCUAACACUGACGCUCAUGCACGAAAGCGUGGGGAGCAAACAGGAUUAGAUACCCUUGUAGUC
rnacentral:rRNA from 1 species